UGAGGACAAGCUUACCUUUGGUCAGUCCCACAAUGGGAACUCCUUGAGGCACUUCCUGUUCCCAUGCCUCAGGGUUUCCUAGCCAUUCCUCUGGCUAUUUCAGGUGUUUAGGAAAGGACCACCACCUCCCCUCUCACACACACACACACAGGCAGCAGAAGCUCUGCUAGCUGUGGGCUUCUCCCUCUGCAGGCCAACAGUUGACACCGACAGUCCCUGCCAGCUUUCCCUAUGGAUGCUCUGCUGCUCUUGGCUUCACCCACUCUCCACUGUAUGGCUUCCACCGCCCUAUCCAGUUAUCUUCUCCAAGAUGUGGCAAUCUGGAAGCAGAGAGGACUCAGAUUGGGAGACACAAUACACUGUCUUGUGGCUGACACCAGACCUCACAACGUGAUUCUCACCGGCUUCCCAUCAUGAAUAUUGAAGCGUUAAAGAAACUGCACCUUGACCUACAGCUCCCCGCCGGGGCGCAGCGCUGUCUUCCGAAGACCACGCCCCCGGCCCCGCCACGCCAGG